rnacentral:rRNA from 1 species
CGAACGGGUGAGUAACGCGUGAGGAACCUGCCUCAAAGAGGGGACAACAGUUGGAAACGACUGCUAAUACCGCAUAAGCCCACGACCCGGCAUCGGGUAGAGGGAAAAGGAGCAAUCCGCUUUGAGAUGGCCUCGCGUCCGAUUAGCUAGUUGGUGAGGUAAUGGCCCACCAAGGCGACGAUCGGUAGCCGGACUGAGAGGUUGAACGGCCACAUUGGGACUGAGACACGGCCCAG